GCUAGGAUAGCUCAGUUGCUUAGAGUGUGGUGCUGAUAACGCCAAAAGUUGCAGGUUCAAUUCCUAUAUAGAACAGCU